rnacentral:snRNA from 1 species
UUGCUUAGGCAAAGCAGCACACAUACUAAAAUUGGAACGAUACAGAGAAGUUUAGCAUGACCCUUGCGUAAGAAUGACAUGUACAUUUGUGAAGCGUUCCAUAUUAAA